rnacentral:rRNA from 1 species
UACGUAGGGGGCUAGCGUUGUCCGGAAUCAUUGGGCGUAAAGAGCGUGUAGGCGGCCAGGUAGGUCUGCUGUGAAAACUCGAGGCUCAACCUCGAGAUGUCGGCGGAAACCAUCUGGCUAGAGUCCGGAAGAGGAAAGUGGAAUUCCUGGUGUAGCGGUGAAAUGCGCAGAUAUCAGGAAGAACACCCGUGGCGAAGGCGGCUUUCUGGGACGGUACUGACGCUGAGGUGCGAAAGCGUGGGGAGCAAACAGG